GAUGAACGCUGGCGGCGUGCCUAAUACAUGCAAGUCGAGCGAACAGAUGAGGAGCUUGCUCCUCUGACGUUAGCGGCGGACGGGUGAGUAACACGUGGAUAACCUACCUAUAAGACUGGGAUAACUUCGGGAAACCGGAGCUAAUACCGGAUAAUAUAUUGAACCGCAUGGUUCAAUAGUGAAAGACGGUUUUGCUGUCACUUAUAGAUGGAUCCGCGCCGCAUUAGCUAGUUGGUAAGGUAACGGCUUACCGAGGCAACGAUGCGUAGCCGACCUGAGAGGGUGAUCGGCCACACUGGAACUGAGACACGGUCCAGACUCCUACGGGAGGCAGCAGUAGGGAAUCUUCCGCAAUGGGCGAAAGCCUGACGGAGCAACGCCGCGUGAGUGAUGAAGGUCUUCGGAUCGUAAAACUCUGUUAUUAGGGAAGAACAAAUGUGUAAGUAACUAUGCACGUCUUGACGGUACCUAAUCAGAGAGCCACGGCUAACUACGUG
rnacentral:rRNA from 1 species